rnacentral:rRNA from 1 species
CUACGGGAGGCAGCAGUGAGGAAUCUUCCGCAAUGGGCGAAAGCCUGACGGAGCAAUGCCGCGUGUGGGAUGACGCCUCUCGGGGUGUAAACCACUUUUCUGAGGGAAUAAUUUUGAAGGUACCUUAGGAAUAAGUCACGGCUAAUCACGUGCCAGCAGCCGCGGUAAUACGUGAGUGGCUAGCGUUAUCCGGAAUAAUUGGGCGUAAAGCGUCACCAGGGGGAGAUUUAAGUCAGAUGUAAAAGUUCACGGCUCAACCGUGAGUUGGCAUCUGAAACUGAAUUUCUAGAAGGCAGUAGAGGCAGAUGGAAUUUCCGGAGUAGGAGUAAUAUCCGUAGAUGCCGGAAGGAACACCAAUAGCGAAGGCAAUCUGCUGGGCUGUUCUUGACCCUCACUGACGAAAGCGUGGGUAGCGAACCGGAUUAGAUACCCGCGUAGUC